UACGUAGGUGGCAAGCGUUGUCCGGAUUUACUGGGCGUAAAGGAUGCGUAGGCGGACAUUUAAGUCAGAUGUGAAAUACCCGAGCUUAACUUGGGUGCUGCAUUUGAAACUGGGUGUUUAGAGUGCAGGAGAGGUAAGUGGAAUUCCUAGUGUAGCGGUGAAAUGCGUAGAGAUUAGGAAGAACACCAGUGGCGAAGGCGACUUACUGGACUGUAACUGACGCUGAGGCAUGAAAGCGUGGGGAGCAAACAGG
rnacentral:rRNA from 1 species